ensembl:misc_RNA Metazoa_SRP Metazoan signal recognition particle RNA
GCCGGGUGUGGUGGCUCACACCUGUAAUCCCAGCACUUUGGGAGGCUGAGGUGGGCGGAUCACCUGAGGUUGGGAGUUCGAGACCAGCCUGACCAACAUGGAGAAAUCCCAUCUCUA